UAGGCGGUUCGUUAAGUCAGAUGUGAAAGCCCUGGGCUCAACCUGGGAACUGCAUUUGAAACUGGCGGACUAGAGUUUAGUAGAGGGGAGUGGAAUUUCAGGUGUAGCGGUGAAAUGCGUAGAUAUCUGAAGGAACACCAGUGGCGAAGGCGACUCCCUGGACUAGAACUGACGCUGAGGUACGAAAGCGUGGGUAGCAAACAGGAUUAGAUACCCUGGUAGUCCACGCCGUAAACGAUGUCGACUAGCCGUUGGCCCUAUUUACAGGGUUAGUGGCGCAGCUAACGCAUUAAGUCGACCGCCUGGGGAGUACGGCCGCAAGGUUAAAACUCAAAUGAAUUGACGGGGGCCCGCACAAGCGGUGGAGCAUGUGGUUUAAUUCGAUGCAACGCGAAGAACCUUACCUACCCUUGACAUCCAGAGAAUCUGUUAGAGAUAGUAGAGUGCCUUCGGGAGCUCUGAGACAGGUGCUGCAUGGCUGUCGUCAGCCCGUGUCGUGAGAUGUUGGGUUAAGUCCCGUAACGAGCGCAACCCUUGUCCUUAGUUGCCAGCGGGUAAUGCCGGGAACUCUAGGGAGACUGCCGGUGAUAAACCGGAGGAAGGUGGGGACGACGUCAAGUCAUCAUGGCCCUUAUGGGUAGGGCUACACACGUGCUACAAUGGCCGGUACAGAGGGCAGCGAACUUGCGAAAGUAAGCAAAUCCCAGAAAGCCGGUCUUAGUCCGGAUUGGAGUCUGCAACUCGACUCCAUGAAGUCGGAAUCGCUAGUAAUC
rnacentral:rRNA from 1 species